rnacentral:rRNA from 1 species
AUUGAACGCUGGCGGCAUGCCUUACACAUGCAAGUCGAACGGUAACAGGUCUUCGGAUGCUGACGAGUGGCGAACGGGUGAGUAAUACAUCGGAACGUGCCUAGUAGUGGGGGAUAACUACUCGAAAGAGUGGCUAAUACCGCAUGAGAUCUACGGAUGAAAGCAGGGGAUCGCAAGACCUUGUGCUACUAGAGCGGCCGAUGGCAGAUUAGGUAGUUGGUGGGAUAAAAGCUUACCAAGCCAAGGAUCUGUAGCUGGUCUGAGAGGACGAUCGGCCACACUGGGACUGAGACACGGCCCAGACUCCUACGGGAGGCAGCAGUGGGGAAUUUUGGACAAUGGGCGAAAGCCUGAUCCAGCAAUGCCGCGUGCAGGAUGAAGGCCUUCGGGUUGUAAACUGCUUUUGUACGGAACGAAAAGCCCCGGGUUAAUACCCUGGGGUCAUGACGGUACCGUAAGAAUAAGCACCGGCUAACUACGUGCCAGCCGCCGCCGUAA